rnacentral:rRNA from 1 species
CCUUAGUAGCGGCGAGUGAAGCGGCAAAAGCUCAAAUUUGAAAUCUGGCUCUUUCAGAGUCCGAGUUGUAAUUUGAAGAAGGUAUCUUUGGGUCUGGCUCUUGUCUAUGUUUCUUGGAACAGAACGUCACAGAGGGUGAGAAUCCCGUGCGAUGAGAUGAUCCAGGCCUAUGUAAAGUUCCUUCGAAGAGUCGAGUUGUUUGGGAAUGCAGCUCUAAGUGGGUGGUAAAUUCCAUCUAAAGCUAAAUAUUGGCGAGAGACCGAUAGCGAACAAGUACAGUGAUGGAAAGAUGAAAAGAACUUUGAAAAGAGAGUGAAAAAGUACGUGAAAUUGUUGAAAGGGAAGGGCUUGAGAUCAGACUUGGUAUUUUGUAUGUUACUUCUUCGGGGGUGGCCUCUACAGUUUAUCGGGCCAGCAUCAGUUUGGGCGGUAGGAGAAUUGCGUUGGAAUGUGGCACGGCUUCGGUUGUGUGUUAUAGCCUUCGUCGAUACUGCCAGCCUAGACUGAGGACUGCGGUUUAUACCUAGGAUGUUGGCAUAAUGAUCUUAAGUCGCCCGUCUUGA